CAUGCUUAGUAACGGUGGUCCAUGCUCCAGGUCCCGGCCAUCUUUCUUCUUUUGCACAGCAGCCUAAAUGAGCACAACAGACCAGAAGUUCUAUGAGGGCGUGAUAGAAACUCCAGUCCAGACACCCAGGAUGGAGAAGCACAUUAGGCACCUCUCUGGGAGGACAACUGGAUUCACCAUCUCACCCACCUUCACGCCUCAACCAGAUUACUUGAAACACAUCACUUAAUUUCACAGUAGGGAAUAGAUCAGAUGCUGAUGAAGUCAAAGUCACCUACACCUGCCAUAUUACUCUA